rnacentral:lncRNA from 1 species
GCGUGCUUUGCGGCCGCCCUGCCGCGCGCACAUGUAGGCGUUCCGAGCGGCGGCGGAGGAAAGGGAACAUCACAGAAAGGUGAAGAAAUUUGCCCUAAAUCAUAAAACUUUGUAAGUGGCAGAACAAGGAUUUGAAGCUGGCAGUCUGGUUCCAGAGAUGGGGUUUUACUAUGUUACCCAGGCUGGUCUUGAACUUCUGUUCUCAAGAGAUCCACACACCUCAGCCUCCCAAAGUGCUGGGAUUACAGGCGUGAGUCACUUCACCUGGCCCAUACUGUCAGGUGCAGUGUGAGGUCCUGGGGACACUUGCUGUGAGUACCCUCAGCCAGCUCAGAGUUCUACCGAAGAGACUGACAAGUACACCUGCAGUGACAACACUCGUGUAGGACGUGCCUGCUUCCCCUUCACCUUCCGCCAUGUUUGUAAGUUUCCCGAGGCCUCCCCAGAAGCCGUCAUGCUUCCUGUACAGCCUGUGGAACCAUGAGCCAG